rnacentral:miRNA from 1 species
CUCAGCCGUGAUGACCCUCAAG